UACGUACCGUACGAACGUUAUUCGGAAUUACUGGGCGUAAAGGGCUUGUAGGCGGCCUUGUAAGUCAGGUGUGAAAUCCCUCGGCUCAACCGAGGAACUGCGCUUGAGACUGCAAGGCUUGAGGGAGGCAGGGGUAAGCGGAACUGAUGGUGGAGCGGUGAAAUGCGUUGAUAUCAUCAGGAACACCGGUGGCGAAAGCGGCUUACUGGGUCUCUACUGACGCUGAGGAACGAAAGCUAGGGUAGCGAACGGG
rnacentral:rRNA from 1 species